UAAACCAACUUUGGAGUUCAUGACAUAGAAGCUUACUUGUGUAAGGAGGUGAUCAUCAUGUUAUUUUUUUGUGUGUGUGUAAAAGAAUGUUUUAUGUAGAUGUUAAAAGGUCAGAGACAUAAGAGAGCUUCAUCCUUUUAAGAUUGAUGAGAGUUAUUUUUUAGAAAAUAAAUGUACCUGCGAUGCACAUGCAUAGUCUGUGUAAUCCGGGUCUAUACAGUUAGGGUAUGUCGAAAAGCUCCCAUCUCGUUUUCGUCUUAAAUUUCAAAAUUGUCCUACAAUGCUGUUUUACAUUUUUUAUGUAAAGGGUAUUUGAUCUUCUUUGUAUGUUCACCUUGUAAAUACUCUGAAAUGUUCUGCAUUCUGUAGAAGACAAGAUGGGAGUUUUUCGACAUAUCCUAACUGUAUUGACUAAUAAUAAUAGUAAUAGUUGACUAAUCAAAAAAAUAAUUGUUAGAUUAGUCUAAAUAAAAAUAAUCGGUUAGUGGCAGCCCUAGAAGCAUUCAGGUAAGAAAAUCAAAUGUAGAAAUCACUUUAGUGCAGGGGUGCCCAACCCUGUUCCUGGAGACCUACCUUCCUGCAGAGUUUAGCUCCAACUCAUAUCAAACACACCUGUCUGUAAUUAUCCAGUGCUCCUUCAGAUCCUAAUUAGUUGGUUCAGGUGUCUUUGUGUUGGGUUGGAGCUGAACUCUGCAGGAAGGUAGAUCUCCAGGAACAGGGUUGAGCACCCCUACUACUAGUGUAUUCAUCACAAAUAGUUUUUUAAAACUACAAAAACAGUUUAGUCAAGAGCAGUCAGUGACUGUUUAAUAGUAAUGUGACAGAUGGCCUAUAGUAAAUAUAUAGACCUACUGUAAUGCACGGAUCUAAUAAUGUUACACAUGAAAUGUUUUUCCCCAACAGUUAACCAAACAUUCUUUUAAAACAUAACAGAUUAUGUUUGCAUUAAUUUUGCCUGUAGAUCAAAAUUUGCCUGUGCGCAUUCUGACUCCUUUUGCCCAGCACAAUCCACAACUGUGAAAUCUGAGAGCUUUCUGUCCCUCCAAUAGCCUAAGCAACUACUACCUUCUAACAGUAAGAUGCUGUCAAAAAAAAAAAAAAAAACACCAUGAAAA